GCUCUCCGUACCAGAAACUGGAGGAAUCGAGUUUUCAUGUAAGAUGAAAAGUCAGCACAGCAUCCAUCCUGGGUGCUUCAAAGCUUUGAUUUGCACGCUAAAUGUUGUAUGUGUGUUACUACAAAAAUAUAGCCCACAAGACUAAAAGAGAAAAAUAACUGGGAUACAGAAAGGCCAGAAUGUAUGUUUCACAAAAAGAUGGAAAAAUAAAUAAGUCAUGGCUGAUCCACGUUAGGGUUGCCAUUGUCUGCCUAGGGGUCACGCCUUCCCAUCACAGGGCACAAACAUCAUAGAUGUCUUCUGCAGGACUAUGCCUUUUCUCAGCCACCUCCCCACCACCACCACCUGAGACAAACCUUGGGAAGUAGCAUCUGUCUUCCAACUGGCUCCUCCCUGCCCACUGUAGCCUCCCCUGAAUCCUUAACCUUUAUAUGGGCUCCUUACAGCGUACUCAGAUCCUGUGUUCUCCAAGCCAAAUCCAAAAGGUGCUUCUUUUUGAA
rnacentral:lncRNA from 1 species